rfam:Aneurinibacillus sp. XH2, complete genome.
AGGUAACAGUCUGCUGCACCUUUAUCACUGCAGGCACUCGGCCAUGCUGUGGGCAUGCAACAAUGCCUUAGACGUUUUAUCGUCGAGGGUAUGGUGUGAGGUCGGGUUGAAUGCCCA